GUGAAAUCGGAUCAGGUAUACAAAGGCUCCUCAUGCAAAGGGACAACAUCCCUCUGGUUGCUGUGUAUUCAAACGAUGAGGAACCCCCACAGCCACCAGCCAGGGCACCUUGAGCUGGGAUCCCAUCAUGCCUUCACACUGGAGCCAUCAGGCUAGAAGAGUUGGAGACCUUCCAGGAGACACAGAUGUGGUAGGACCAAGUGGAGAUGACAGUCCCAUGAGUGUGGAUCAGAAGCAGGAUCUCAUGACUCACCUGACG